rnacentral:rRNA from 1 species
AGCAGCCGCGGUAAUUCCAGCUCCAAUAGCGUAUAUUAAAGUUGUUGCGGUUAAAAAGCUCGUAGUUGAACUUCGGGGUUCCCCCAUUGGUCAGGCUUAACUGUCUGCACUGGUGGGGGGGAUUCUUACCUUCUGAGGAAUCUCCAUGCCAUUAAUUUGGUGUGGUGGGGAAUCAGGACUAUUACUUUGAAAAAAUUAGAGUGUUUAAAGCAGGCUAACGUCUGAAUACAUUAGCAUGGAAUAAUGAAAUAGGACGGCUUGGUUCUAUUUUGUUGGUUUCUAGGAUCACCGUAAUGAUUAAUAGGGAUAGUUGGGGGCAUUAGUAUUCAAUUGUCAGAGGUGAAAUUCUUGGAUUUAUUGAAGACUAACUACUGCGAAAGCAUUUGCCAAGGAUGUUUUCAUUAAUCAAGAACGAAAGUUAGGGGAUCGAAGACGAUCAGAUACCGUCGUAGUCUUAACCAUAAACUAUGCCGACUAGGGAUCGGACGAAGUUAAUUUUAAAUGACUCGUUCGGCACCUU